AUGGAAGCAACCAUUUGUAGUUCUUUACUACAGUCUGAUGGUCAACCAGAUUUUUGGCAGAAGACCCAGCUGAUUACCUGAUCUUCUCUAGCCAAGAAGACAUAGCUGAUUACCUGAUCCAAGGAACACACUUAGCUGCAGAAUCUUGUCAUUUACAAUGGGUCUUAAUCAUGCACUGAAAGACCCUCUGACUAAUCAUAAUAAAUUUCAAAAUCAGGAAACUCUCAACAGGGAAAAUGGUGACCUAUGGGAAAAGGCAGCACUGUACCUGAAGGUUUCUGAAUCUGUUGAUCGGGAUUCUGAUAAUUCUGAUGAUUGGUCCAAAAAGUCUUACGUUGAAAUGGCAGAAAUAAAAUUCAGGACUCAGCAGGCCUUCGGAGUUGUGGAAGCUGGAUAAAGGAAAUCACAAGCUUGCAAAUGAACAUGCGACCAUAACCACAAGAUGCGUGCACAAGUAUUUUUGUAACUUCUGAACUUUAUCAAUUGUAAGCAGUGUUCCUGUUACGUAAUGAAGAACGCUAUAUAUAAUUCGUUGAAACUGAUU